rnacentral:misc_RNA from 1 species
GAUGAAGUACGUAGCGAAAUGCGAUAAGUAGUGUGAAUUGCAGAAUUCAGUGAAUCAUCGAAUCUUUGAACGCACAUUGCGCCCCUUGGUAUCCCGAGGGGCAUGCCUGUUCGAGCGUCAUUUCACCACUCAAGCCUGGCUUGGUGUUGGGCGACGUCCUCUUUGGGGACGCGCCUCGAAACGCUCGGCGGCGUGGCACCGGCUUUAAGCGUAGCAGAAUCUUUCGCUUUGGAAGUCGGGGCCCCGUCUGCCGGAAGACCUGCUCGCAAGGUUGACCUCGGAUCAGGCAGGGAUACCCGCUGAACUUAAGCAUAUCAAUAAGCGGAGGA